UUUUUAUUAUGAAUAUAUGGACAGAAUACUGAUUUGCAAUUUUAAAACAUAGCAACAAGCUUUUGGGUGUAUCCCAACUCCCACUACAUUUCAUUCCCGUUGUAGUUAAUAGUAUUCCAUCUUAAUACUUCACAAAUAAACAAUAAAACUGUUUUAAAAAAGUGGUUUACUGUGACUCUGUUCCAGAUCCACAGCAGCCAAAGAGGGGUGAUCCUGACCCUCUAAAACCAAGUGGUCCUGAUCCGAAAGAACCAAAAAAAGCAAAGAAUAUUGUUCCUGACAUCCCACCACCAAGAAGAGUAGUUGCCUUCACAGCCAAGCUGAACACCGCUCACAGCACCCCCUACCACUCUGGUGUCCUGAAGCUUGUGGAUGUGGUGGUGAAUGAGGGAGACGCCUACAGUCCUGACACAGGCAUCUUCACCUGCCCUUUGGGGGGAUUUUAUCACUUCACUGUGCACAUGUCUGUGAAUGGACGGGCUCAGUGUGCCAUAUUUAAGAACGGAGAGAGUUUGGCUUCAGUGUAUCACACAAGUCUUCCUGACAAAUGUAGCCAAGUGGCCAGUGUCAGCAGCGUAGUGCAGCUGUCUGAAGGAGACACAGUGUGGGUUAAUUUAUGGGGUCACGGCCGGCAUGAGAUCAUCGCAACAGAAGAUAAUGACACUGUAUUUGUUGGGUUUUAUUUAGGGUAAUGGUGUCAGUGUCAAAAUAUACUAAUCACGAUGAGUGAGAAACAGGGCCGGUUUUUUGCUAUGGGCAAUGUGGGUGACCGCCCAAGGCGCAAUCUAUCUGAGGGCGCACGAGCGCCCUGAAAAAAAAAAACUCUCUUUUCUAUACCGCUCAUUU